rnacentral:tRNA from 1 species
UGCGGGGUGGUGGAACGGUUCCAUGCCGGUCUCAUACGCCGGAGGUUGCGGGUUCGAGACCCGCCCCCGCAACCA